rnacentral:rRNA from 1 species
GGGCCCGCACAAGCGGUGGAGCAUGUGGUUUAAUUCGAUGAUACGCGAGGAACCUUACCAGGGCUUAAAUGCAGAACGACAGAGGUGGAAACACCUCCUUCUUCGGACGGUCUGCAAGGUGCUGCAUGGUUGUCGUCAGCUCGUGCUGUGAAGUGUCGGGUUAAGUCCCAUAACGAGCGCAACCCCUAUUUCUAGUUGCCAGCGGUUCGGCCGGGGACUCUAGAGAAACUGCCAGCGUAAGCUGUGAGGAAGGUGGGGAUGACGUCAAAUCAUCACGGCCCUUACGUCCUGGGCUACACACGUGCUACAAUGGUAGGGACAGAGAGUUGCCAACCCGCGAGGGUGAGCUAAUCUUCAAACCCUAUCUCAGUUCGGAUUGUUGUCUGCAACUCGACAACAUGAAGUCGGAAUCGCUAGUAA